CUUCUCAGAGUUGCAGAAUACUCAAGAUUGAUUUUGGUUUGGAUUCGCAGAUGAGCGGAUGAAUAAAUAAAACAUCAUUGAUAUCGAUUGGAUGAUUGAAGGAAUUGAAUUUGUAAUCACGCAAAUAUCAUCAAUUAUUAUAAAAAUUAGAUCAUUAUUAUUUAUGGAUAUUGAAGUGUUGUAAUAAAUUAUAAGGUCUUGCAUAUUCUUUAGAAUUUUGCCCUAAGGAGUGUGCGGCCAUCGCAUGCCCGACCUAGGUUCGAGGCGUGACACACACAUAAUUUACAUCAAACAUUAACAAUUCAAUGAGACGUACCUCCCUAAUAAUGUU
rnacentral:lncRNA from 1 species